rnacentral:misc_RNA from 1 species
AACGCAAAUGGCGCUCUAUGGUAUUCCGUAGAGCACGUCUGUUUGAGCGUCGCGAACAUCUCCAAAAUUAACUUUUUUCAAUUGUUAAUUGAGGGUUAUGAGGUUGUUUAUGCCUAGUCAUAGACUUUCUUUAAAAUAAUUAGUAGGACUCUAUUAAAGGGUUAAUACUGUGUGUUAUAGUGGAAAUUUAAUCUCCAUCACCAGUCAGUAACUUUUCAAGUUAUGCCUUUUAAUAUUAGUCAAUCUGCUUCUAACAGUUGUAUUAUACAACAAUUUAAAACUGAUCAAAUCGACCUCAAAUCAGAUGGGAUUACCCGCUGAACUUAA